rnacentral:rRNA from 1 species
AACGAACGCUGGCGGCAGGCUUAACACAUGCAAGUCGAACGGGUGUAGCAAUACAUCAGUGGCAGACGGGUGAGUAACACGUGGGAACCUUCCUAGAGGUACGGAACAACUCAGGGAAACUUGAGCUAAUACCGUAUAAGCUCUUGCGAGGAAAGAUUUAUCGCCUUUAGACGGGCCCGCGUAGGAUUAGGUAGUUGGUGGGGUAAUGGCCUACUAAGCCUACGAUCCUUAGCUGAUCUGAGAGGAUGAUCAGCCACACUGGGACUGAGACACGGCCCAGACUCCUACGGGAGGCAGCAGUGGGGAAUCUUGGACAAUGGGCGCAAGCUUGAUCCAGCCAUGCCGCGUGAGUGAAGAAGGCCUUCGGGUUGUAAAGCUCUUUUACCAGGGACGAUAAUGACGGUACCUGGAGAAUAAGCCCCGGCAAACUUCGUGCCAGCCGCCGCAGUAA